CGACCAUAGCGCUUUGGACCCACCUGACUCCAUGCCGAACUCAGUAGUGAAACGAAGCAGCGCCGAUGGUAGUGUGGGGUCUCCCCAUGUGAGAGUAGGACAUCGCCAGGC
rnacentral:rRNA from 3 species